rfam:Hordeum vulgare subsp. vulgare, WGS project CAJW01000000 data, contig: morex_contig_1561507
UUUGUACUCCCUCCGUCCCAAAUUCUUGUCUUAGCUUUGUCUAGAAAUGAAUGUAUCUAAAUACUAAAAUUUGACUAGAUGCAUUCAUAUCUAAACAAAUAUAAGACAAUAAUUUUGAGACGGAGGGAGCAUCAU